GGGAAGACAGAUGUGUGCCUCUGAAUAACCUUUCAGCGCCUUGGUUAUAGCAGCUGUAUUUCAGGUGAAAUCUGUUUUACAAUAGGCUAGUUUUGCAUUUUUUAGAACUUCUAUAGCGUUUCUAAUGUCUGCGGUGUUUUACUACAACUGUACACAAUAUUUGUGAGAUGAUUUGUAUCUAAUCGACCACUUCAUAUUGUUAUUGCUAUUAUUAUUUUUCCUUCAUUGAGCUGAUGGUUUUUUAAUUACUUAGAAUAGGAAGGAGGGAGAGAUGUCUACCCAUCCACCGAUCUCCUAUCCCAAAUCUUUGUGGAGAAGAGAGAAUAAAGUAGAGAGAGUUGUUGAUGAUAUUGGAAAGAGGUCGGCUUGAGGAGCGGAAAGUGCUCCUCACCUCCGAAAUCCGGGGAUGCCUGCACUUACUCAGAGCUCCCCACCCGCGCCGCGCCUUGCCAGGCCAGCUGCUAGCGCGACCCUACUUUAGCCCUUAUAGGCAAAGAAUUUUGCUUUUAUACGUGAUUGCUUUAACUGGAGACGACGACCUGACCGGGACACGCUGGCGACGGACUGGGUC
rnacentral:lncRNA from 1 species